GGCUAGAUGACGAGUCCCAAACAGGACGAAACGCGCUUUGCCCUAGAU
rnacentral:hammerhead_ribozyme from 1 species